rnacentral:rRNA from 2 species
GAGCUUGCUCUCAAGAAGUUAGCGGCGGACGGGUGAGUAACACGUGGGUAACCUGCCCAUAAGACUGGGAUAACUCCGGGAAACCGGGGCUAAUACCGGAUAACAUUUUGAACUGCAUGGUUCGAAAUUGAAAGGCGGCUUCGGCUGUCACUUAUGGAUGGACCCGCGUCGCAUUAGCUAGUUGGUGAGGUAACGGCUCACCAAGGCAACGAUGCGUAGCCGACCUGAGAGGGUGAUCGGCCACACUGGGACUGAGACACGGCCCAGACUCCUACGGGAGGCAGCAGUAGGGAAUCUUCCGCAAUGGACGAAAGUCUGACGGAGCAACGCCGCGUGAGUGAUGAAGGCUUUCGGGUCGUAAAACUCUGUUGUUAGGGAAGAACAAGUGCUAGUUGAAUAAGCUGGCACCUUGACGGU